rnacentral:rRNA from 1 species
AACUGCGACCCCAGGUCAGGCCG